GCCGGAGUGGUGAAAUAGGUAGACACACCAUCUUGAGGGGGUGGCGCCUUAACGGGUGUGCCGGUUCGAGUCCGGCCUUCGGCA
rnacentral:tRNA from 1 species